GGCUUCGGGUGAGGCCUCUGGGUCCACCUCCCACCCGUGUUUAUUUACCUUGUUGCUUCGGCGGGCCCGCCUUAACUGGCCGCCGGGGGGCUCACGCCCCCGGGCCCGCGCCCGCCGAAGACACCCUCGAACUCUGUCUGAAGAUUGUAGUCUGAGUGAAAAUAUAAAUUAUUUAAAACUUUCAACAACGGAUCUCUUGGUUCCGGCAUCGAUGAAGAACGCAGCGAAAUGCGAUACGUAAUGUGAAUUGCAAAUUCAGUGAAUCAUCGAGUCUUUGAACGCACAUUGCGCCCCCUGGUAUUCCGGGGGGCAUGCCUGUCCGAGCGUCAUUGCUGCCCUCAAGCACGGCUUGUGUGUUGGGCCCCGUCCUCCGAUUCCGGGGGACGGGCCCGAAAGGCAGCGGCGGCACCGCGUCCGGUCCUCGAGCGUAUGGGGCUUUGUCACCCGCUCUGUAGGCCCGGCCGGCGCUUGCCGAUCAACCCAAAUUUUUAUCCAGGUUGACCUCGGAUCAGGUAGGGAUACCCGCUGAACUUAAGCAUAUCAAUAAGCGGAGAA
rnacentral:rRNA from 1 species